rnacentral:rRNA from 1 species
AACGAACGCUGGCGGCAGGCUUAACACAUGCAAGUCGAACGCAUCGCAAGAUGAGUGGCAGACGGGUGAGUAACGCGUGGGAAUCUACCCAGUUCUACGGAACAACAGAGGGAAACUUCUGCUAAUACCGUAUACGCCCUACGGGGGAAAGAUUUAUCGGAAUUGGAUGAGCCCGCGUAAGAUUAGCUAGUUGGUGAGGUAAUGGCUCACCAAGGCGACGAUCUUUAGCUGGUCUGAGAGGAUGAUCAGCCACACUGGGACUGAGACACGGCCCAGACUCCUACGGGAGGCAGCAGUGGGGAAUAUUGGACAAUGGGCGCAAGCCUGAUCCAGCCAUGCCGCGUGAGUGAUGAAGGCCUUAGGGUUGUAAAGCUCUUUCAGUAGGGAAGAUAAUGACGGUACCUACAGAAGAAACCCCGGCUAACUUCGUGCCAGCCGCCGCGGUAACAC